UGUUUCUUUUUAGACUCCAGUAGCUUCAU
rnacentral:piRNA from 1 species